AUAUUAUUGGAACGGUUGGAACUUCCACUUCCAAGUUCCACCAAGUUUCAGACUUCCAGUUCCAGCUGUCGAAAAGUGUGGGUUACUGGCCAAUUCUCAGUGUCUCUAGUUCUUCCCUAAGUGAUAUUUUUUCCUGAAUUUAUUCGUCCAGAUUAAAUACAUUGAAAAUUAUUUUAAGGAGCAAGGAAUGCUUUUACAGGAGUUGGAGAUCGCAAUUUUAAAGCAAAAGGAAAGGUAUUAAGACAGAUAUGUGCUUCCACCAGACUACUUCAUAACCAAAAGACAUCGUAAAAGAAAAUUUAGAACACUUAGUAAUGGACGACCACCACAGCCUGAAGAGAACAUUCUGGUUGUUAAUACAAGACCACCAAAGCCUUGAAGCUGGAGGACCUGGAAUUAAGCAGGGAAACCACAGCCUCGAAGCUGGUGGAAUAAAUUGCAAGAGGACUUCAGUUUGAACGUUUACUAUAUAUUGAAGCCAAUAACACUUGAGAAGUCCAAGACGACUAUAACCUUAAGCCUGGAGAAUGAUAUUCUGGUGGUUAAUGUAAGACCACCACAGACUUUAACCUGGAAUUAAGCAAGAAAUUCACAGCCUCGAAGCAGGAGUAGUUCAUUGCAAGAGGACUUCGUUUCAACGUUUACUAUUAAUAUAGAUUGAAGCCGGUAAUCCAGGGCCUCUUGAGUUAAUCUACCCGUCUGGACCAAACAUUAUCAAAAGAAACUACAGUAGUGCCAUCAAGUGUGCCUGGCGUAAUCGAGGUUACUGAAAUGGGUGUUACUGUGUUGUGGUCCUUCCGAGGUGCACCCAUCAGCCUUUUCCUUAACCUCCAUUCUUCCUUCUUGGUGUGCUACGCAGAUGCUUCAUACCGGAUGUGUCAACCCACGGUCAGAACCCUAAAA